ensembl:lncRNA
AUGGGAAUUGUUGAAUCAUGGCCUGAACUUCUGAUUGACCACCUGAGGCGAGCAAUGAGUCAGCCAUGGGAGCACAGGUGAAGGCAAUUCCUGUGUUACUGUCCUAGAUCCCAUUUAAGGGCUGACUGCCACUAGGGAAGGAUUUCUGGAGGUUGUUCCUUUUGGUGUUUUUCUUGAUAAGCCUGGGACACAGUUGAUGAGAAGCAGUCAGGAAGUCUAGCAGAUAUGAAUAGGAAACCACUGGAAUAUAAGGUGCUGGUAGGACCAAAACCUGUAGAAUGGGCCCAAUGCCUACCACAGCAUACUUGCUACUCAUGAAGAGCGCAAACUGUGCACACAUGCCAAGGACACAAGCUGUAAAUAUCCAUCAUCUGCCACUGAAAAUGAGCAUGUCAGCAGGUCCUUCCACAUCAGGUCCUGUAUAAAAGUAGACCAGGAUCUAGACGUGCAUUUAUGUUCUUUAGCACAGACUUGUAAAUUAAUACAGUAUGCAUUUUAGGACAUUUGUAAAUAACUAUUUGAUGUACAUUAUAGUAUUAUUUCAACUAGCAGAUAUAGAUUAAGAAACACAGUAUAUAAACUUUUACUUCAUUCUGUGUAGAACUCUCCAGCCUUUUUGGAGAUUGGAGUAUAAUGUUUUGGCAAAGUAUCCCCCUAACUGAUAUUUUCUACUAUUUACAUCAUGCUUUUCUACUGAAUAGUAUGUUAUUUUACAUCCAUAGUACUCAGACUAUGCUAAAAAAUAAGCAUAUAAAAUUAAGCUUCUGUAAGUCUCUAGCUGACCGUAACUGUUCUAUCUGCUUUCCUUCUGAGUAUCCUUGGCAUAAUGUGUCCUGAAGAACAUAUUCUGUCCUGAAGGGUGAAGCAAACAAUGGAAGCCAUAAUGCUACCAUAUUUGCUUACAGAACUCCCAAAGAAUGUUUUCAGGUUUUGUGGCACAAGGUUUGCGUUUUGUUGACCAGAAAAAAUAAAUGCCUUCAAGCACUGAUGAGCAGUCAUGUUCAUGAACAGGUUACUCUGACAUGUGUGUUUUGGUAAAGAACAGGAAAUUGUUAUUCCCAUUUCUCUUGCAAAAUCGUUCUUUAAUGACCCAGAAAGGACCAUAUCUGACACCAAGCACCUUGAUUAAAACUGACUGCCCCCUUUGUUCUCUAGUAUUUUGUAAUCUAGUAGUUUCCAAAAAUGCAAUUGUAGAAGCAGAGCACUACUUUUCACCGUUUCUCAGAGUUACUACAAUACCUGUAGAAGUUGUAUAGUAGCUCUUAAACAAACCAGAUCUUUCAGCGUUCAAGGGCCUUUCUCCAGAGAGGUAGAUCAAUACACUUUCCCAG